AUUUACGUGGCGGAAUCGGUAGACGCGGUAGACUUAAAAUCUACUUCCUUUGGGAGUGUUAGUU
rnacentral:tRNA from 1 species